AAACGGAGCCAGCCCAGGACAGAGCCCAAGGUCCCAAGUUCUUGUCCCACAUCCAGAAGAAUAAGGUUAUGCAGACAACCAGAGAGUGAGCAGGGCAGAAAAAAACUUCUAUUGCAUGAUGGAACAGCUCCCAGCGUUGAGGGGACCUGAGAGUGGGCAGCCACUACCUGAAGGUCGGGCUUCACUGGGGACCUGCCCCAGUCUGCCUAGGAAUCUGUCUUCUGCUACUAUCAGAGGGACCACGCUUCGCUUAUCCAGUCGUCAUUCACGGACCCUGCAUUGUCUCUGCCUCUUGGGCUUUGUGAAGAAUGCUGCUGUGAACAGGGGAGUGCCCCUGCCUGUUUGGGUCCCUGCUUUCCAUUUCUUUGGGAGCAUCAUUAUAAACUGCUGAUCUACUGUUUCUUUGUCAAACGGGAGGAGAUAACAUGAGGGUCAUGAGAAAUGUUUGCAGACGGAGUGAAUGCCUUGAAAGUGCUGCGACCAGGUGCUGACACCCGGAGGUCUGGCUGCUCAAAGUGUUAGCUGACACGGAAGACACACGGACUUUCCCUCCAUUCCCCAAAACUCCCCUUCCCUGACUCGUCAGCUGCAUAAAAACCCUCUCCUUAUCUCUUUGUCAAGGGGAUUUGAGAAAUCUUGCUGUCUUGUCUUCUUGCUUUGGCCAAAUGGAAUAAACCUUUCUCUGUCUCCAGACACCUAUGUCGCAGUGUUCGGCCUCAGCUAUACGGCAGGUACAUGAACCUGGUAUUUGGGCUUCUACAACAAUUGUACUUAUAGCACAAAUAAAGUACAAAGUGUUAGGGAAGACCAAAGACCAUAGGUAGAAAACUUGGAUACAACUUCCAAAUAAACACUCUUCAAAACAUUUAAUGAGCAGCUUCUGGAAACGUAACUUUUUC
rnacentral:lncRNA from 1 species